CAUGUGCUUGGAGAACUCCCUCGUUAUAGAAACCAGGAGAGGAAAAAAGGAACAUGAACUCCUCUAUCCUUCACUAUUCCCCAGAGCUCCCACAGAAAGCUCCAUGACUCAACACAAUUCCUGUUGCAUUUCUGCACACAGCUGCCCACCGCAGGCACUGUUGAAACUCCAAGAUGUGCAGUGGAAGGACUGGCUAAGAAAACCCGACCCUGAUGGAAACGCCUUCCAAUGAGUAGAACUGAUUCACAUUGGAUCACUGGACUUUGGGUUGGGAUGUCCAAAAGAAGGACUGAUUUCAAAGUAAAAUAAAUGUUCCAAGACUAGGUCACAAAGAAAAGCUUCUCAGCCUUGAAGAAGACAAGGCAUAGGCCCGCGUCCCAGGCUCUGAGAGAGAAACGUCUCAUUUCCUUUGCUUGCAAGUCUGUGUGCCAUCUCUCAACUUCUGCCCUUGGGUUAUCUGUCUGUGUAUUUUCUUCACCCUUCUAGAUUGCCAGCUCCCUGAAUGGAGAUCACAUUGUUGCCUUUGCAUUCACCACAAUGUUAGUCCAGUGCCUGCCACUAACCAGGUCUUCCCUGCUUAUUAAUUGACCAACAGACUUUGUAUUGAAAACACACUGAAAAAGCAUUUCAAAAAUAGUUGACUUUCUCUGACGGGAGUUUUGCUAACUGGGAAGGUGAUGUAGGGUAACUUCUCAGCAGGGUGUAAAUUUUGAGUGCUAGGGAAAGAGCAGCAUGAUUGGAAGAGAGGCACAUUUCACUAGGAUACACUCUGUUAUCUUUGUUUUACAUUUAAAUGGGUCUACAUGAAAUUUGGAUGACACAUUAAGGGUAAUUUCCCCAGCGUGAUUUGGAUUGCUGAUUAGAGAAUCAAGGCCUCCUGGAGUAUUCUGUUUGUGUUACUGAUUGGUUAAGGGCUGUUUCCCAAGUGUGGGGUGAGUUCCGUUUUCCCCUGGAGAAUUAAAGAGCAGCACCCUUCAGGCACAGCCAAAGUGAACUCUCUUCAAAAAGUCUAAGCCUGGCCAGGCGUGGUGGCUCAUGCCUGUAAUCUCAGCAUGUUGGGAGUCCGAGGCAGGCAGACCACCUGAGGUUAGGAGUUCGAGACCAGCCUGGCUAACAUGGUGAAACCCCAUCUGUACUGAAAAUACAAAAAUUAGCCAGGUGUGGUGGCGGGUGCCUGUAAUCCCAGCUACUCGGGAGGUUGAGGCAGGAGAAUCACUUGAACCUGGGAAGCAGAGGUUGCAGUGAGCCAAGAUUGCACCACUGCACUCCAGCCCGGGCGACACAGUGAGACUCAGUCUCAAAAAACAACAAAAAAGCCUCUGAGCUGAAGCCCUUUUCUCUUUCUAAUUAUGCAGGAAGCAAAGAAAUGUUACUAUGUGGUGAAGAAUUAACCUUCUUCAAAAUAAGCCCGCCUUUUGUCCUUGGCUUCUGGAACGUAAUCUCUACUGUCUUUCUUAGCCCGAGGGAUGGGGGUCACAGUGGAUUGUCAGUGCAAUUUAAGGUGGGGACUGGCCACUCCCAUGUAGCCAUAGGGUUGGAGCUGAAAGACCAACAAUGUGACUUUGGGUGGAGGCUUUGGGUCACCCAGUAUCGGUGGCCUGGAGACUAAGAUCAACCAUGUGGCCAGUCAAUCAUUUAUGCCCACGAAAUGGAGCUCCAACAAAAACUGAACCCUGAGGCUUAGGUGAGCUCUCUUGGUUGGUGAUUCUCUCUUGGUUGCUGUAUUGUCACACAUGGAUGCCACCGUGUAUCCUUACUUUGUGGGGAAAAGACAACAGGAGCUCUGCAUUUGGAACCCUUCUGGACUCUGCCCUAUGUGUCUCUUUUUGGCUAAGCUUAACCUGUAACCUUUCCUUAUAAUAAACCAUAAAUGUGACUAUAACAGCUUUUGGUGAGUCCCAUGUUUCUAGGGAAUACCAAAUCAAAGAGUGAUUUUGGGAACCCUCUAAAAUUGCAGUUGUCCUGCAUUUAUGGACAGAACCAAUAUACAUCUUACUUGUAUUGAUUAAUGUCCUAUGUCUCCUUGAAAUGUAUAAAACCAAGCUAUAACCCAGCCACUUUGAGCACAUGUUCUCAGGAUCUCCUGAGGGCUGUGUCAUGGGCCAUUGGUCACUUAUAUGUGGCUCAGAAUAAAUCUCUUCAACUAUUUUAUGAAGUUUCACUCUUUUCAUCAAC
rnacentral:lncRNA from 10 species